rnacentral:rRNA from 1 species
AACGAACGCUGGCGGCAGGCCUAACACAUGCAAGUCGAGCGAGCUCUUCGGAGCUAGCGGCGGACGGGUUAGUAACGCGUGGGAAUAUGCCCCUGGGUAAGGAACAACAGCUGGAAACGGCUGCUAAUACCUUAUGAUGUCUACGGACCAAAGAUUUAUCGCCCAGGGAUUAGCCCGCGUUGGAUUAGCUAGUUGGAGAGGUAACGGCUCACCAAGUCGACGAUGUCUAGGGGUUCUGAGAGGAUGAUCCCCCACACUGGUACUGAGACACGGACCAGACUCCUACGGGAGGCAGCAGUGAGGAAUAUUGGUCAAUGGGCGCAAGCCUGAACCAGCCAUCCCGCGUGUAUGAAGACGGCCCUAUGGGUUGUAAACUGCUUUUACAUGGGAAGAAACCUCCCCUCGUGAGGGGAGCUGACGGUACCAUGAGAAUAAGGACCGGCUAACUCCG